UAUAUUUAAGCAUGUAAGCAGCAUACUAUGUCAAAUCCCAAGAAUACCAUCAUCGACUUGUUAGUGUUCAUAUGCAAAUAUAAAUACAAAAGGGCCUUUCAUUGACUAAUGUUAUAGGAAAUGGCAUCAUACUAUGCAGUCAAAUCUGCUUGUUAGUAUGUUAGGUUUAUUAUUAGUUCUUUCACCCGUUCAGCAUUGUUCAAUUUUGGGUUAUAUACAAGGCUUGGAUUGAAUGAAGAGGUUCGACGAAGCUAAAGCUGAACUUGAGGAAAUUGUUCACUACCUACGAGAUCCUAAGGCCGCACUUGAAGAAAUCUUAUAUCAGUUUGAGGAAAAACUCCAAGCUGAAAGAGAGGAAGCUGCUAGGAAGCAGGAAGAGUUGCAAGCACAACUACAAGCUCAACAGGCCGCACUUGAAGAAAACCAAAGUUUGCUGCGCCAAGCCCAAGAGGAAGUGAAGGGGAUGCAUACCAAGUUUGAAGAGACCAAUGCACUGCUAUGAGCUGUCCUGAAACUUUAGAAAGAUUGAGGUAGGGAUGCAUACCAAGUCUGAGGAUGAUGUCUUUGCUUAAGGUUUUUCUACCUUGCUAGAACAUAUCUGUGGUUAGAACUUUGUCAGAACUACGUGCAAUCUGUUUGAAUGCUUCAAACCUUUGUGGUGGAACCUUUGUAUGUUUGAACCUCUGUUGUGGAAGAACUAGUGUGCUGGAAUUGUGUAUGACUUGUGAUGAGAAUGUUGUGUAUGAUGGCUUUUCUGUGUA